GUUAAGACAUCCAAACCAAAUAAAAAUGCAGAAAAGAAUAAAUUAUCAAAAGAGCGAAUAGAUUGGUAAGAAAUACAGUGAAGAACGUAAAGUGUACAGAUCAAAUUUUAUAAGUGAGCGCAAGAUGCUUUAGAGUGGUUAAAUGAGUAUUCAAAUAAAACAAAUACUCAAUGGAUUAUUAAGAAUGCGGUUUAUAAUCCCCAAAGUAGUGUUUCAUAAGUAUUUUGUUUGUCAACAUGCCUCAAGAAAUAAAAGGAAAAGGGAUUCAGAAAGGAACAGUGGAUGUACAUCUACAAUUGAUAUAAAUUUAAAAAAAUAAUAAAGCAACACGGAAAAAUGAUCAAUUUUUAAAAGAAAACCAACCUUUGGCAGGGUUCAUUAAAAUAAAAAUUAAUCAUAAUCAUGCAGUUGAUACUUAGUGGAUCUCUUAAACUAUUAAGAAUAGAUGACCAAAUUUAAGACCAAUACUAUGGGUAUUUUGAAGAUGGACUAGGAGUUAGUGAGAGUAUUAGGCAGUUUCAAAAUAAGAAUCUUUUAAGCAUUCUUUCUUCAGAUUUGCCAGAGUGCUAGACUAAAUCCAACUUAUAAUAUGGUCAAAAAUCUUUAUAACAGAUGGAGAAAUGAUAAUUUUGGAAAUGUUUUGGAUCGUGUUAAAAGAUUAAAGGAGAAAAUAACAUAUUACACCGAAAAAAGUAUAAUAAUUCAUACAACAGAUGAAGAUCAACAUCCUUGGGCAACUUUGGUGGUUACGCGUAUAAUGAAGAGGUGUCAAGAACUGCUUUACUCUAGAGAAGUUAUUUUUAUAGAUACCACUUGCAGUGUAGAUGCUAAUCAUUCUUCUCUAUCAUUUUGACAGCUUCUAAAGCUGGUGCUCUUCCCGUAUGUACGCUAGUUCAUGAGGGGCAAACCAAAGAAAGUUAUACAAAAGCUUUUCUAUUACUGAAAAGCUUUAACAACAAACCUUUUGGUAGAUGUGAGCAUCCUAUAGCUUUCAUGACCGACCACUCAGCUGCAGAAAAAAAUACAUUGAAAACGGUCUGGCCAGGGUCACAACAAUUGCUAUGCCAUUUUCAUGUGGCCCAGGCAAAAUGGUGUUGGUUAAUGUCCGCUAAAAAUGAAAUUCCUGGAGAUAUAAGGCAAACUUACAUGAAGGCCUUUAAAAAAGUACUAUAUUAUAUCAUAUUUCAACUUGUCACCAAAUAAGUUUUCCUAUGACUACCAGUUUUCAUCAAAAUGGAAACUGUUUGAUUUAUUAUUAUCAUAUUGAUCAUUUUAAUUACAAAAAAACCUAAAAAAAGGCCUUUUCAUAAAAGUACAAAAGAAUGAGUAAUAUCAUGAAGCAAA